rnacentral:rRNA from 1 species
UACGUAGGCAGCAAGCGUUGUUCGGAGUUACUGGGCGUAAAGAGUGCGUAGGCGGUGUCGAAAGUUUGGCGUGAAAUCUCCCGGCUUAACUGGGAGGGUGCGCCGAAAACUGCGAUGCUGGAGUGUGGGAAAGGCAAGCGGAAUUCCUGGUGUAGCGGUGAAAUGCGUAGAUAUCAUCUGGAAUACCGGAGGCGAAGGCGGCUCACUGGGGGGUUUUCUGACGCUGAGGAACGAAAGCCAGGGUAGCGAACGGGG